UGGGGAAUAUUGCACAAUGGGCGAAAGCCUGAUGCAGCGACGCCGCGUGAGGGAUGACGGCCUUCGGGUUGUAAACCUCUUUCAGUAGGGACGAAGCGCAAGUGACGGUACCUGCAGAAGAAGCACCGGCUAACUACGUGCCAGCAGCCGCGGUAAUACGAGGGGUGCGAGCGUUUUCCGGAAUUACUGGGCGUAAAGAGCUCGUAGGCGGUUUGUCACGUCGUCUGUGAAAUCCUAGGGCUUAACACUGGACGUGCAGGCGAUACGGGCUGACUUGAGUACUACAGGGGAGAGUGGAAUUUCUGGUGUAGCGGUGGAAUGCACAGAUAUCAGGAAGAACACCGAUGGCGAAGACAGGUCUCUGGGUAGUAACUGACGCUGAGGAGCGAAAGCAUGGGUAGCGAACAGG
rnacentral:rRNA from 1 species